UACAGAGGUCUCGAGCGUUAAUCGGAGUCACUGGGCUUAAAGGGUGCGUAGGCCGGUCUGUAAGUGCCUUGUGAAAUCCCAUGGCUCAACCAUGGAAUUGCUCGGUAGACUGCAGGCCUUGAGGUCGGUAGGGGCAGCUGGAACUCUAGGUGGAGCGGUGAAAUGCGUAGAUAUCUAGAGGAACGUCGAAGGUGAAGACAAGCUGCUGGGCCGAUUCUGACGCUGAGGCACGAAAGCGUGGGGAGCAAACGGG
rnacentral:rRNA from 1 species